rnacentral:rRNA from 1 species
CGAAGAUACAAAGGGCGCGAGGCGGAUGCCUUGGCGCGGGAAGUCGACGAAGGGCGCGGCAAGCUGCGAUAAGCCGCGGGGAGGCGCAAACGGCCUUUGAUCCGCGGAUUCCCGAAUGGGGGAACCCAGCAGGGGCAAUGCCCUGCUACCGGCCGCCGAACGCAUAGGCGGCCAGGAGGCAACCGGGGGAACUGAAACAUCUAAGUACCCCGAGGAAGAGAAAUCAACCGAGAUCCCGGGAGUAGCGGCGAGCGAAACCGGGCCAGCCCAAACCGGCGCGCGUGCAAGCGUGCGGGCGUUUCCGCGCCGGUGUUGUUGGGCGGGGCAACCGAGGUCCGCAUGCCUCGGCCGCUGUUACAAACCAGCCAUCUAGGGGAACGGCCUGGGAAGGCCGGCGGAACAGGGUGAGAGCCCCGUACCCGGAAGGUCGCUGGCAGCGGGUCUCCGGCCCAGAGUAGCGCGGGGCACGUGAAACCCCGCGCGAAGCAGGGGGGACCACCCUCCAAGGCUGAACACUCUCCCGCGACCGAUAGCGAACCAGUACCGUGAGGGAAAGGUGAAAAGCACCCCGAGAGGGGAGUGAAACAGCGCCUGAAACCGCGCGCCCACGAGCAGUCGGAGCACCCAUCGCGGUGUGACGGCGUGCCUUUUGUAGAAUGAGCCAGCGAGUCACGAUGCGCGGCGAGGUUAAGCUAUGAAGCGAGCCGCAGCGAAAGCGAGUCUUUAAGACGGCGACAUGAGUCGCGCGUCGUGGACGCGAAGCCGGGUGAGCUACCCAUGGGCAGGCUGAAGCGGGGGUAAGACCCCGUGGAGGGCCGAACCCACUUCGGUUGAAAACGGAGGGGAUGACCCGUGGGUAGGGGUGAAAGGCCAAUCAAACCCGGAGAUAUCUCGUUCUCCCCGAAAUAGCUUUAGGGCUAGCCCCGGCCGUUUUCCCGCGGCGGUAGAGCACUGGACGGAGGAGGGGGCCUCACCGCCUACCGAUGCCGACCAAACUCCGAAUGCCGCGAGACCAAAGGCCGGGAGUCAGAGCAUGUGGGCUAAGCUGUGUGCUCGAGAGGGAAACAGCCCAGACCGCCCGCUAAGGCCCCCAAGUCAUCGCUGAGUGGCAAAGGAUGUGCGUCCGCCCAGACAACCAGGAUGUUGGCUUAGAAGCAGCCAUGCAUUCAAAGAGUGCGUAACAGCUCACUGGUCGAGUGGACAUGCGCCGACAAUUCACGGGGCUAAGCGAUGCGCCGAAGCGGCGGAAUGUAUUAAACAUUGGUAGGGGAGCUUCCCCUGCGCGGCGAAGCCGGAGGGCGACCGACGGUGGAGCGCAGGGGAGUGAGGAUGCUGGCAUGAGUAACGAGAGCGGCGCGGGAAACGCCGCCGCCGUAAGCCCAAGGUUUCCUGGGCAAGGCUAAUCCUCCCAGGGUCAGUCGGGAGCUAAGGCGAGGCCGGAAGGCGUAGCCGAUGCGCAACAGGCGGACAUUCCUGUACCGCCUCGGGACCGCUACGACCGAAGGGGCGACGGAGAAGGGUACGCAGGCGGGGUUCUGGACGCCCCCGUGAAAGCAUGUAGGCCGCAGGGCAGGCAAAUCCGCCCUGCGCACAAGGCCGAGACGCGAGACGAAGCCGCAAGGCGAAGCUGCGGAGCCCACGCUCCCUGGAAAAACCCCUAGGCAGGGCCCGAGGCGCCCGUACCAAAACCGACACAGGUGGGCGGGUAGAGCAUACCGAGGCGAUCGGGGGAACCAUGGUCAAGGAACUCGGCAUAAUCGCUCCGUAACUUCGGGAGAAGGAGUGCCGCUGCAGGUGGAGGGACCAGCUCCCCGAGCCCGCGGCGGCCGCAGCGAAACGGCCCAAGCGACUGUUUACCAAAAACACAGGACUCUGCCAACCCGCGAGGGGAAGUAUAGGGUCUGACGCCUGCCCGGUGCCGGAAGGUUACGCGGAUGCGUUAGCACUCGUGCGAAGCGCUGAAGCCAAGCCCCGGUAAACGGCGGCCGUAACUAUAACGGUCCUAAGGUAGCGAAAUUCCUUGUCGGGUAAGUUCCGACCCCAACCACCGAUGAUG